AAGCACUGAGGGGAGCCGUGGCUCCCCUCAAAUAAUUGCUGCGUGCUUUGUUUUUGUUAUUGAACGAUCUGUUGUUGUUUUUAGCGAUCUGCUCAAGGGCAAACGUAUUUUUUUGGACGCCGGUGUUGCCAUUGUCGCCAGGGACUCAACCAGUGCACGAGCUACCUUCAGGGUAGUU
rnacentral:misc_RNA from 1 species